rnacentral:lncRNA from 1 species
GAAAAAUCAAGUCUGAGAGAAAAUCUGGAGUCAAUAUUCCAGGUUUCUGGAAGUUUUAGGGGCAAAUCUGCUUCCUUGUAUUUUCUUAUGUGGUACUGAGGAUUGGAUCUAAGGGAGCUGUACCACUGAGCUACAUACCCAGCCAUUUUUAUUUAUUUAUUUUAAUUUUGAAACAGGAUCUCACCAAGUUGCCAAGGAUAGUCUCUAGCUUGUGAUCUUUCUGUCUCAGCUUGCAAAGUAGCUGAGAUAAUAGGUGUGUAUCACCACAUCUGGAUACAAGGAUCCUUACAGGGAGGCAAGAGGGUCAAAAUGAGAGAGGUAUUGAACAAAUUGGAGAUCAAGAAAAAUAAAAUAAUUUUUAAAAGGGUUUAGGAUGGAGCUCAGUGGCAGAGUACUUGCCUAGCAUGUGCAAGACCCUUGAUCAAUUUCCAGUAUGAAAAAAAGUUAAGAAUCCUCAUAGUUAUAUUAAAACCACAUAGAUAAUCCAGGAUAAUAAUCUCUCCAGCUCAAAAACUUUAACAUAAUCAGAUCUGCAAAAUCUAUUUUGCCAUAUAAAGUAACAUUCACAGUUUUAAGGUUUUAGAGCAUGGGCCACUUUUCUCAGAGGCAUUAUCCAGUCUAAACAACUAAUUAGAUGGGGGGAUGAGGAAAUGGAAUUGUUUAGAAACUUUUUACUCUUUAUUAUUGAAAAUUUUAUACACACACAAUGUAAAAACAGUAGUGUAAUAUAUCUCCAUGUACCCAUCUUGACAGUCUCGUUUCAAUCAUCUCUCCCACUCUUGGGGCAAGAAGAUUUUAUUUUAUUUUUGUUUUAUUAUUAUUAUUAUUAUUAUUAUUAUUAUUAUUAAUAGUGUGUUUGUUUGUGUGUGUGUGUGUGUGUAUGUUGCUGGAGAUCAAACCAAGGGCCUCUCCUGAAUGCUGAGCAAGCACUAAGCUGCUACUAAGCUGCAUCCCAAGCUCAUGAAAGACUACUGUGUACAGUGCUCUGCCUCUAGUCCUUGCUGAAGUAAACUGUUUGGCACUAGUGAGAAAAUCUGUUUGGAUUUAACCAAGAUACAUUCCCACUUUGACUUUAACCUUGUCUAUCUCCUAGUAAAAGUGGCAAAAAAUUUUUGAUUUUGGCAGUAUUAUACUCACUUUGCAGGGGGGAACAGUAGGUAAAAGUUAUUUCAAAAUCAACUGGCUUUAAAAGAAAAAAAAAAGCAGUAUGUGGCCAGAUGUGGUAGCACACACUUGUAAUACCAGCUACUGGAAAGACUACAGCAGGACAAUCACAAAUUGGAGAGCACUUUGGGAAACUUAGCAAGACCCUGUCUCAAAGUAAAUAAGGGAUGGGGAUGUGGUAGAGUGCUUGCUAGCAUGUGCAAGGUCUUGGGUUCAAUCCCCAUACCAAAAAAUAAAAAGCAAUAUGUAAACAUAAAAAAGUAUUUAAAUGAUGUAAACAUCCAGGCUUCCGGGUUGGGUAAUCAUUGAUAACAGUUGCUUGUGUGUUACUUCCAGAAAAUAUUAGUGUUUAUGCAGAUCAACAUGAAUGAUGCUUUGUUUUGUUACACAAAUAGACUCAAAC